rnacentral:rRNA from 1 species
UACGUAGGGUGCGAGCGUUGUCCGGAAUUAUUGGGCGUAAAGAGCUCGUAGGCGGUCUGUCGCGUCGGUCGUGAAAACUUGGGGCUUAACCCUGAGCUUGCGGUCGAUACGGGCAUGACUGGAGUUCGGUAGGGGAGACUGGAAUUCCUGGUGUAGCGGUGAAAUGCGCAGAUAUCAGGAGGAACACCGGUGGCGAAGGCGGGUCUCUGGGCCGAUACUGACGCUGAGGAGCGAAAGCUAGGGGAGCGAACGGG